GUGUUCAUGUGGUAGGGAAAACAUUGUUGUACACAACAAAUUCACUGUUUUGCUUUUAGGUUGAAGACUACAUGAGACUUUGACAGUUGGCGGGAAACCAUCAUCAACUGGAGAAAAGCCGCUGGAAGGAAGCCUGAGGCUGAGACGGGAGCCAUUGCAUAGAGACCUUUUGCCAAGGAGUGCCAGAGCUGAGGACAUCAUAGACUGGAGUAGGGCGGGGACAUAGACCUUGUUCGUUAGUAAGUCUGGAUGGACUUUUGAUGGAGCGGGAACCCGUAACAUAUCUACGUAGCGAGUCCUGUUCACUCGCGGACGCAAGGGCUUAGCUGGGGUUUUAGAGCCGUCUACAUCCCGAAAAGUUGGAGACUACAUGAGACUUUGACAGUUGCCGGGAAACCAUCAUCAACUGGAGAAAAGCUGGUAAAAAGAUGGCCAUAAAACAGUGACCGCUGAUUCGCAUUGAGUUCUUUCUUACAUAUUGGAUGAC